AUUGAACGCUGGCGGCAGGCCUAACACAUGCAAGUCGAACGCGUGGCGGACGGGUGAGUAAUAUCUGGGAAACUGCCCGAUGGAGGGGGGUAACUACUGGACACGGUAGCUAAUACCGCCUACCAUCGUAUGUGCCAAGAUGGGAUUAGCUAGUAGGGGGGGUAAGGUCUCACCUAGCCGACGAACCCUAGCGUGGCUGAGAGGAGAACCAGACCCCCUGGAACGGAGCUACGGCCCAGACUCCUACGGGAGGCGGCGGAGGGGAGUAUUGCACAAUGGGCGCAGGGCUGAUGCAGCCCUGCCGCGUGUAUGAAGAAGGCCUUCGGGUUGUAAAGGACUUUCAGUGGGGAGGCGUUACCCGCAGAAGAAGCACCGGCUAACUCCGUGCCAGCAGCCGCGGUAAUUC
rnacentral:rRNA from 1 species